ACUUGCAUUCUCACUGCCAAUCUCAGGGAAAUGGUUUUGACUGUUUCCAGUCGCAUUAUCAAUGCCGCGCUUGGAUCCUCAUUGAUCUCGAUGACGAUAGUUCGAGGUUUUAUUAUUGAAGAUUGAGUGUGAAAAUCGGAUCUCUCUGAAUCGACGACGAUAGUUUGAGGUCAUAUUCUUGAAGAUUGACUGUGAAGCGUCACGGAAUCGGAUCUCUCUGUAUGUAUCUAUCGUUUGCGUCUUCAACUUUACGUGUUAUCAAAUUCUUUUUGCUUGGUCUUAUGGAUUUCUUAAUCAUGAACUUCGAUUUGAUUUGAUCUCAAAUUUGACUUAUCUGUUACUUCUGCGUUCGGUUUCUGAAAUUAAUUAGUAUACAAAUUUCUUGAAAGUAAUCAAUGACGAUAUUUCGAGGUUAUAUUCUUGAAGAUUGGUUGUGAAGUGUCGCAUCUCUCGAGUUGGAUUUUGCAUGAUUGUCAACCCUCCGGCAAGGUAUGUUUCCUAGACUAAUAAUGCCAAGUCUAACAAAUUAUACAGAUUUUUAAAAAAUUAUAAUUAAGGUUAUAAAAAUGAGAUUUAAAAGAAAAAAGUUCCAACGAGAUUUCGUGGUAUACUUGGACUGGUCAAGAACUUUGCAAAAGGAGGCGGUUAAAUUUGAUGGAAAUCAUGGCUUUUUGAAUACCUACCAUGAAUGCAAUUCCUUCAUAUAUAUCAAAUUUUUGCGGGUAAGGGAUACCUAAACUUUCAUUUUUUCUAUUAUCCUUUUUAAUUCGUGUUUAAUAGGUUAUUGAUUGUAUUAGACAUCUUUCAAAAUUGAUCUACUUAAAUUUGAAUUUAUUUUGUGUUUUAAGGGUUCAUAAACUUCUAAUUUGAACACAUUCACAUUCAUAGUUUUUUUAAAAAAAAUCAUUAAAUAGGGUCAAUAGCUGAUAAUAAAAACAAACUUGAGCCUGAACCUAAAUCUAUAAAUGACGUUGAUGACCAAAUGAUUCUCUGUUUUUUUUUUUUUUUUUUCCUUUUGAAAACAAGUUUGUUCUUUGGUUAUACUUUAAAUUUGAAUGUUCUGGUUUUCCCUUCAAUUUGUUAAAGAAAAGUCGAAAACGGUUUUUUAUUUAUGAAAGCUGAGGAUAGCCUUGGUCCCUAGCUUGGUGGGCUAGGUGCACGUUGGUUUAAUGACUAACUCGUGAUAUUUUUUUAUUUAUUAUAUAGUUAGCUAAAUAAAUGUUUUAGUUGUAGAACGACUUAUAAGUUUCUUUAACUUAAUCCUAUUGUUUAGAAAGUUUAAUAUCGUUCCUUACGUCUUAAUGUUUUUAAAAAUUAGUCCUCACUUUUGGUGGAUACUAAAAUUGGGUAAGACAUUUAUAUGAGCAUAGAACUUGUGAAUCGACAAAAAUUUAGAGGAUAAAAAUAGAAGGAUUUCAAGUUUUGUUCUCUUAAAUAACAUUUUCUUCACUUUUUUCCCUUUCAACUCAUCAAGUAUUAUAUCAUCGUAAGUUAAAGAACGAACAUUUGAUAAAAUCAUUCCAAACCG